UAAGACGAGCCACACAAACGUUAUUCGGAAUUACUGGGCUUAAAGGGUGCGUAGGCGGCGCGGAAAGUUGGGUGUGAAAUCCCUCGGCUCAACCGAGGAAUUGCGCUCAAAACUACCGUGCUCGAGGGAGAUAGAGGAGUGCGGAACUUAGGGUGGAGCGGUGAAAUGCGUUGAUAUCCUAGGGAACACCGGUGGCGAAAGCGGCACUCUGGAUCUCAUCUGACGCUGAUGCACGAAAGCUAGGGUAGCAAACGGGAUUAGAUACCCCGGUAGUCCUAGCCGUAAACGAUGAGCACUGGAUUGAAGGCCCCCUCAUAGGCUUUCAGUCGCAGAGAAAUUGUUUAGUGCUCCGCCUGGGGAGUAUGGUCGCAAGGCUG
rnacentral:rRNA from 1 species